rnacentral:rRNA from 1 species
UACGUAGGUGGCAAGCGUUGUCCGGAUUUACUGGGCGUAAAGAGCGCGCAGGCGGUCGAUCAAGUCGAGUGUGAAAGCCCCCGGCUCAACUGGGGAGGGUCACUCGAUACUGAUCGACUCGAAGGCAGGAGAGGGAAGCGGAAUUCCCGGUGUAGUGGUGAAAUGCGUAGAUAUCGGGAGGAACACCAGUGGCGAAGGCGGCUUUCUGGCCUGCUCUUGACGCUGAGGCGCGAAAGCUAGGGUAGCAAACGGGG